GACGAACGCUGGCGGCGUGCUUAACACAUGCAAGUCGAACGGAAAGGUCUCUUCGGAGAUACUCGAGUGGCGAACGGGUGAGUAACACGUGGGUGAUCUGCCCUGCACUUCGGGAUAAGCCUGGGAAACUGGGUCUAAUACCGAAUAGGACCACUUGGCGCAUGCCUUGUGGUGGAAAGCUUUUGCGGUGUGGGAUGGGCCCGCGGCCUAUCAGCUAGUUGGUGGGGUCACGGCCUACCAAGGCUACGACGGGUAGCCGGCCUGAGAGGGUGUCCGGCCACACUGGGACUGAGAUACGGCCCAGACUCCUACGGGAGGCAGCAGUGGGGAAUAUUGCACAAUGGGCGCAAGCCUGAUGCAGCGACGCCGCGUGGGGGAUGACGGCCUUCGGGUUGUAAACCUCUUUCAGCAGGGACGAAGCGCAAGUGACGGUACCUGCAGAAGAAGCACCGGCCAACUACGUGCCAGCCGCCGCCGUAACA
rnacentral:rRNA from 1 species